CGCUCGUGCCCCGGAGGGCGGCUCCCGCAAAACCUUUAUUAACAAUGAUGUAUACAAAUACGAUAGUUAACAAUCAAAACACAGUCAUCUUGCGCCAAACGAUACGUGUAAAUGUCAAAUCGUGCUUGUAAAUUUGUUUUUUUUUGUCGUUGGAUGCUUCGCUCUACCUGAUUUGAAAAUGGCGUUAAUGAGGUUUCAAAGCUGUCCCAGUGGAUCCUUUCCCUUGCUGUCAGUGAAGACCCCCUUUGUGAUGGCAACUUCAGCCCAAAGACAUGCCAGCUGGCGAUUCUAAGCAGUCCACGGUGUCCUGCUAUAGACAGGCAUCCUGUCCAGGGCCCCCUCUGCCCUGUGCUGCCUGGGACAGGCUCCAGCAGCCCCCCCUCCUCACAACCCUGACCCGGAUGAAUGGUUGGAUGAUCGUUGGAAUCAAAGCAUUUCGCAUCUGGACUUCAUUUCUAAGCUGGCUCAUCUGGAGGCUUUGAUUGAUGGAGGUGUUCCUUUCCGGAAAGGUCCAGGGACCGGCGGGUUGUGGCAGAGAGCAGAGAGAAAGCUGUGAAAUACUUUGCCUUCUCCACAAACCUUCUCUGACACAUUGCAGGUCUGAAAUCUGUUUCUGAUUCUGUUACCAUUUCUAUGUACAAUGUGAAUCCAGUGACAUCGGAACCACAGUGAACUUCAAAAACGACAGAUCUACGGUGCGGCCAUGACCCCCCCAGGAAAUAGACAGGCACCCCAGUCGCCGCUCUACUUCACAGACAAAAACGCAAUGUGGGACUGUUCAUUCUGUAAUCCGGAGCUGCCCAACACGUCCAUCGGUAGAUCAUGGUCUCCAACCUGAUCGUGAGACGAUUAAUGGAUAAUGCUCACGAUCAACGAAAAAUACUGAGGUGGUACCCCACCCCCCAAGUUGGUAAAUAUUGCCCCCUCACCAGUAAAAUCAUUGGGUCUGGUCACCCGUUGUACAAGGUCUGGCUCCGCCCCCGAACCGCAAAGAGUCAAAACACCACUGGCUGGUAGACGACUUAACAUGUUUGUCAACGUUUAUCCAGCUGCUGUACAUAAAUCAAACGUGGUUCUCCAUUCCAUCUGGCAGGAUAGAUUCUUGGAUGGAUGUCUGUGUGUGUCUGU